rnacentral:rRNA from 1 species
UAGGGAAUCUUCCACAAUGGACGCAAGUCUGAUGGAGCAACGCCGCGUGAGUGAAGAAGGGUUCCGGCUCGUAAAGCUCUGUUGUUAAAGAAGAACGUGGGUAAGAGUAACUGUUUACCCAGUGACGGUAUUUAACCAGAAAGCCACGGCUAACUACGUGCCGG